UACAUUAAGUUGAGCUGGUUGUGACCAUGACAGGUGUGUCUGAUGCUGGUUAAAUAGGCACAGUAAGGUGUUAUACAUGUAGGCACCAGGCAAGACAGCUAGGAAAGAAAUCGACCAGUUUCAGAGAGAACUUGGACGUUAAAGCUGAAACUGGAGAGCUUGGCAGUACCUCAGGGUUUGGCUGAUAUCCUUCGUUAAAAAAGGAUCUAUUAGGCCCUGCAAUGGACCGAGAUUCGCCAGAAAUAGAAGAUGCAAAGAUAGUCACCGAAGGAGAGACACCUGAUAUUGAAGCCAUAGAAAAUGAAAGACUUCUCAAUUCUGAUGACGAGGAAGAGGAGAUGCAGCGGGAACAAGAAAUUUGGGACAGAAUCCAGGAUAUUCAGAAACGAUGGCAGGAGGCACGCCAAAGAAAGCUGCAGUUAACACAAAAGCAAGCAGAAAUGGUGAAGCGAUGGAAGGCAAGAGCCGCCGAAAAGGCACAAACCAUUGCAAAGAAGACCUGACUGUAGCUCAUAACUCGGCAUCAUAAAUAUACCUGAGGCAAUCUGAACUGGUUUACGCAAGGACGUCGACGUCCAGUGCGACCAAUUCCAAUGUAAUAAAUUUCGUUGUGAGAUGGCAGUAAGAAUAUCGUAAAAUAAACAAACUGAAGGACCAUCUUUAGUAAAUUUCAUCCACAAAGAUCAAUGCAAUUGUUGGAGUUUGUACUAUAGAGAAAAAUGCCAUGACUGGAAUAUCAGAGGGUGACUUGGAACAUAUAAAGAUGACUUAAGUGUUAUUUCUGUUAGUUAGUCAUUUUAAUUAACAUUAAAAUGUCCUGUCUAUACUGUGUGUGCCAGUUUUUUAAAAGAAUGAACUUUGUUUUUGUUGACCAUCUAUGAUGCUGAACGCAAUCGCACAUUCGUAGAAAAAAAGAUACAAGUCUCGUGAGCACGCAGUUUUAGACUGAAAAUUGGGUAAAAAUUGCACAAUUCGAAGACCACAAAACACAGAAACUCCAAUUUGUCUGUGUGCACAGUUGAAGCCUGUUAUCAAAUCGAAAUAAAGAAAUUGAUACAGCCAGUUUUCAUAUAACAAAGAUAUUUCAGAUAUUUGAUAUCAGUGAUGAUCAAAGAUAGUUCAUGUAA